rnacentral:ncRNA from 2 species
AAAUUGAAUAGUUAACUUGGUGCGCCGGUAUCGGUAGAUACGGCGUUAAAAGGGAAGGAGGUGCGAUUCCUCCACUGUCCCGCAACUGUGAACGGUGAUGAAAGCCGCUUGAUGCCACUGAGAUAUUCGGGAAGGCGCGGCAAGUAAAGUGACCCGUAAGUCAGGAAACCUGCCAGGUUGACCGCUGAAAA